GAUGAACGCUAGCUACAGGCUUAACACAUGCAAGUCGCGGGGCAGCAUGGGGGUUGCUUGCAACUCCCGAUGGCGACCGGCGCACGGGUGAGUAACGCGGAUCCAAACUGCCCUUCACCACGGGAUAACCAGGCGAAAGUCGGAAUAAUACCGUAUGUUGUGCAUUGAAGGCAUACGAUUGGGACGAAAGGCUGUGCGGUGGAGGAUGGGGAUGCGUACGAUUAGCCAGACGGCGUGGUAACGGGCCACCGUGGCUACGAUCGGUAGGGGUUCUGAGAGGAAGGUCCCCCACACUGGAACUGAGACACGGUCCAGACUCCUACGGGAGGCAGCAGUGAGGAAUAUUGUUCAAUGGGCGUAAGCCUGAACCAGCCAAGUAGCGUGCAGGAUGACGGCCCUAUGGGUUGUAAACUGCUUUUAUGCGGGGAUAAAGUGGCCCACGUGUGGGCUUUUGCAGGUACCGCAUGAAUAAGGACCGGCUAAUUCCGUG
rnacentral:rRNA from 1 species